GACCUGAGCGAGAAGCACGAUCCCCGGCCGCCCCCGCUCUUGCAUCCCCCUGGUCCUACUGCUGUGCUUGCUGGCGACGGUUCGUUCCGGAAGUCAGUCCCAGGACAUCAAAGCUCUGCAGAAAGAACUCGAGCAAUUUGCCAAGCUCCUGAAGCAGAAGAGGAUCACCCUGGGAUAUACACAGGCCGAUGUGGGGCUCACCCUGGGGGUUCUAUUUGGGAAGGUAUUCAGCCAAACGACCAUCUGCCGCUUUGAGGCUCUGCAGCUUAGCUUCAAGAACAUGUGUAAGCUGCGGCCCUUGCUGCAGAAGUGGGUGGAGGAAGCUGACAACAAUGAAAAUCUUCAGGAGAUAUGCAAAGCAGAAACCCUCGUGCAGGCCCGAAAGAGAAAGCGAACCAGUAUCGAGAACCGAGUGAGAGGCAACCUGGAGAAUUUGUUCCUGCAGUGCCCGAAACCCACACUGCAGCAGAUCAGCCACAUCGCCCAGCAGCUUGGGCUCGAGAAGGAUGUGGUCCGAGUGUGGUUCUGUAACCGGCGCCAGAAGGGCAAGCGAUCAAGCAGCGACUAUGCACAACGAGAGGAUUUUGAGGCUGCUGGGUCUCCUUUCUCAGGGGGACCAGUGUCCUUUCCUCUGGCCCCAGGGCCCCAUUUUGGUACCCCAGGCUAUGGGAGCCCUCACUUCACUGCACUGUACUCCUCGGUCCCUUUCCCUGAGGGGGAAGCCUUUCCCCCUGUCUCCGUCACCACUCUGGGCUCUCCCAUGCAUUCAAACUGAGGUGCCUGCCCUUCUAGGAAUGGGGGACAGGGGGA
rnacentral:sRNA from 1 species